AAUAUGCCUAAAUUUGAAUUCAUUUAUAUACUGCACAAUAAAAGUACGAUUACUAUUAAAUAAUAUUUGAUUCAAAAUUUUUAAUAAUGUAUGUGAUUUCGGACAACCUUUCAUGAUUUAGCUGUGCAUCAUAUUUUAGCUUUGACAUAUACAUAUGUAUGUACAUAAGUUCGACGUAUAUUUUUGAUAAGUUCGUUCACAUCGAGGCGAACGAAGAAAAUUUUAUGGGUGACUCACAUAUUUUUAUACAAUUUGCAUUAUUUGGAAAUACGCCUAUAAUUUUAGUUUACCGAAACAGUUCAAAUGAAAAAAACAAUAGACGAAAUAUGAAAUAUCAGCAAGCCAUUCUUUCUGAUAUAUCCCACACUUUCUCGGUAUAAGCCACGAAACGAAUUUGAAAUGAAAACAGUAGCGAAAUGUUAUGAACAAGAAUACAAACAUGUUGCCCGAGAACGAACAACUUGGUGCCCUUUGUCUUUCCUCGUCUCAUCUUCGGCAUUAAAAUAUGAGUUUGGCCCACAAAAGUAUCCGCUUGUGACCACAGUCAACUUAAAGUGGAAAAGAGUUACAUUCAAAACAAAUUAAAUCUGCCAUUCUCACUAAUCGUCUGCAUGCGAUAAAAAAAAAAAAACAAUUUAUGGUUUUUUGCACAUCUCCAUUGUGUCUCUGUAGCAAAAAUACAAGUUUGUCAAUUGUUGUUGUUCUUGUCGUGGCUUAAAAUAUUUCCAAAUUUUGAGUUGGCAGCUCUUAACCGGAUGUAAAUUGUGGGAACGGAAAUGUUAUUUAGUAAGCCUAAACCGAAUUAUUCCUUGAAUAUUUUCGAUUAGCAGAUCUCUAUUCUUGAAGAAGAAAAUUAUUAGUUUAUCAUUGUGACUAUUGAGAACAGUUGUUUUGGAUUAUUUUACCUACACUAACACGGUUGGAGCACCUGUUUCAUCAUUUUCGCGGUACCAACUUGUUCAAAGAACCAGUAAAAUCACGUGAAUGUCAAAUUCUUUAAAUAGCUUAAGAUUGAAUUUUUCAACUUCUGGGAACUACAUAUACAUAUGUUACAUUAUAGAAUUACUAUUUUCAAAAGUACUGCAAUUAAACUCGAAGAUGUUUGUAUACGAAUGUAUUUCGUUGUUUUAUUAACGCAUUUUAAUACUUAAAAUAAAUUCAAUGUACAAAUAUUUUUGUAAUGGAGCCCUAGCAUAUUAUGUUUUGAUUUCACGCAAUUUUCUAUUAAAGGCGAGCACAUUAUCGUAUAAAAACAAAAUGAAAUAAGCACAUUACUACUGGAACAUAUGUGUGUAUGUACAUUUAAUACAUAGUUAAAACUCAGUUCAUGCAUACAUACAUAUAUCUUUUACAUAUAAUAUAUUUUUUUUAAUUCAAGGCAGUUUUACAUUACAAAGCAAAUUUAAAUGCAUAUCUGCAGUACAAAAAAAAAAAUAAUAAUAAUAAUAA